rnacentral:rRNA from 1 species
UUUUGAAAAAGAUAGCGUUAUAGCUC